UACGAAGGGGGGCUAGCGUUGUUCGGAAUUACUGGGCGUAAAGCGCGCGUAGGCGGUGAUCUUUGUCAGAGGUGAAAGCCCGGGGCUCAACUCCGGAAUUGCCUUUGAAACGGGAUCGCUUGAGUCCGAGAGAGGAUGGCGGAAUUCCUAGUGUAGAGGUGAAAUUCGUAGAUAUUAGGAAGAACACCGGUGGCGAAGGCGGCCAUCUGGCUCGGUACUGACGCUGAGGCGCGAAAGCGUGGGGGAGCAAACAGG
rnacentral:rRNA from 1 species